AGGUGGGGCUGUCUGGGUGAUCCUGAAUGGUGAGGCUAGCCUGGCAUGGAUUGGAAGGAGCCCUCGCUUCUCAUUUAAUGGCAGAGCUGCCAAGAAUAAGUCCCAGGUCCCCGGCUCUGCCCUUCCCAGGCAUGUCCAGCCCUGAAGCAGGAGAAGGUGGGUGUGUGGCCAGCAGGAGGCACAGACAUUCUGAAGUCAGAAUUUUCCUUCCAAGUUAGGGGCUGGGACACGAAGAACCAGUAUCCCUUUCUCAUCAUAACAGCAAGAACGACGCUUUUGACCUUGGUCUCUUGGAAACUUGGAGGCAAAUAGCUGCAUGACGCCUUCGAGCUGUAAACAUGCACUCUCUACACACUGAGUCCACACAGCCUCCUGGCUGCCACAUUCUGUUCUGAUUCCUUGACCGUGCCUUUGUAGUCAGUCCUGCAGUCAGAUCUCAGCCUUCUAGUCCAUGGAACAUCAUUUAUCCAGGUGUGAUGUUGGGCUAUGUCGUGUCUACGAGCUAUGCGUUGGAGUUCUUCAAAAAGAAAAAGGAAAAGGAACAAUGACUUGAAAAGCCUUUUAAAUCUGGGACUGUUUGGAGAAUCCGUUGCAAUGUAACAGAUGACCCCAAACCUCAGCGGCUGAAAACAACAAUGGCUUUAUUUGCUUAAGAUUCGGUGGGUCAGGAAUUCAGGACUUAGCCAAGUGGUUCUUUGGCUCCAUGUGGUGCCAGCCAGAGUCAUUCACUCAGCUGCAUUCAGACCAUGACUCGCUGGGCUGGUCUGGAAGGCCACAGAGGCUUUGCUCACAUGUCUGGUGCCUGAUUGUUCCUCCAUGAGUCCUCUUUCUCUCUCUCUAUUUGGUUAGCUUGGGCUUCCUCAUAGCAUGGCAGUCCCAGAUCACUCAGACUUCAUAUAUGGCAGCUGGCUUCUCAAAAGGAGCAUUCCAGCAUGUAAAAGCAGAAGCUGCAGAACCUAAGGCUUAGCCUCACGUUGCAUCACUUCUGUCCCAUGUUAUUAAGACAAGCCACAACUGAUGUCUAAACUCAGAGGAAGGGGAAAUAGACUCCACCUUUUAUGGGAAGAGCAGCAAAGGCCUUGAAGCCAUAUUUCAUCUACCAUAGGGACAAAUCCCUUACCAGAUCCCACCAAAAAACUUGGAUAAAUAUAUACUCCAUAGGAUCAGGCCUCACUCAGUGCCACUAAUUGGAGGAUUAUAAUUGUCCACAAAAAGGCUAAGCAUAAUGACGGACUAAGAUAAAGGAUGAGUUUGCUGCGGAAAGUAAUACUAAGGACAAAAUUGAGGGAGAGUGUCAGCCCAACUUGUGAAAUAUGGCUAAUACCUGUGCUAGUUAUACUUCUUUUGGUUACAAAAACAUAAUCUUAGAGACCCUUUGGAUUGCUUAAACAAAUAAACAAACAAAAUAUUGGAAGGACUACCAGGUUGUGGGCGAGUCUCACGGAGCAUGGAACAACUGGAUCACAGAGAAACCAGCUCUGGGGACUCAGCCGCAGGGGGCUACGGGUUGUCUUUUGAGGCUCUGCUGCAACCGCAACUCAGCAUUCAAGACUCUUGCUCACUGUUUUCCUCACUUCCAAAUCUCACUUUCCAGGACAGGGACUCAGUGGCCCAUCAUUCAGGUGUGCUGCUAGCUCCAGCCUGGGGGACUGAUAUGGUCUGGCUGUGUCCCUACCCAAAUCUCAUCUUGAAUUGUAGUGCCCAUAAUCCACACGUGUCAUGGGAGGGACCCGGUGGGAGGUAACUGAAUCAUGGGGGUGGGUUUUUCCUGUGCUGUUCUCGUGAUAGUGAGUAAGUCUCAGGGAGAUCUGAUGGUUUUAUAAAGAGCACUUCCUCUGCACAUGCUCUCUUGUCUGCUGUCGUGUAAGACGUGACUUUGCUCUUCCUUCACCUUCUGCCAUGAUGGUGAGGCCUCCCCAGCCAUGUGAAAGUGUGAGUCCAUUAAACCUCUUUCCUUUAUAAAUU
rnacentral:lncRNA from 1 species